rnacentral:rRNA from 1 species
GACGAACGCUGGCGGCGUGCCUAAUACAUGCCAGUUGAGCGCUGAAGGCUGGUACUUGUACCAACUGGAUGAGCAGCGAACGGGUGAGUAACGCGUGGGGAAUCUGCCUUUGAGCGGGGGACAACAUUUGGAAACCAAUGCUAAUACCGCAUAAAAACUUUAAACACAAGUUUUAAGUUUGAAAGAUGCAAUUGCAUCACUCAAAGAUGAUCCCGCGUUGUAUUAGCUAGUUGGUGAGGUAAAGGCUCACCAAGGCGAUGAUACAUAGCCGACCUGAGAGGGUGAUCGGCCAAAUUGGGACUGAGGCACGGCCCAAACUCCUACGGGAGGCAGCAGGAGGGGAGCUUAGGCAAUGGAAGAAAGUCUGAACGAGCAACGCCGCGUGAGUGAAGAAGGGUGUCGGAUCGAGAAACUCAGUUGGUAGAGAAGAACGUUGGUGAGAGUGGAAAGCUCAUCAAGUGACGGUAACUACCCAGAAAGGGACGGCUAACUACGUG